rnacentral:lncRNA from 1 species
GACGAAGGCCACUCAGAUGAACAGAUGUAGGGAGGGAGUUCCAGGGGCAAGACGCUGCUGGGGACACCAUGGGCUGAGUCCCACCUUCCCUGCAGGAUACCCCCGCCCCUUGCCCACCAAGCCUGUGGGCACAGGUGCUUGAGUCCUGUCCCUCCCUUCCUUUGUGUCCCGGUCCUUCCUGGGACACCCCUCUCUGCCAGCCAGCACUGGGUGCAGCAGAGAACAAAACCAAAUCCCUUCCCUCCUGGGGAGAGGACAGAGUGACGUAGCUGCCUCGGACCAGGCCCGGGCCGUGGGGAGAAGGCAAACUCAGGGCGUGGGCCAGGCUGGAUCAGGGCAGGGGUUGCCCCUUGCCACAGGGUGGGCAGGCGGCCUCCAGGGAGGAAGGUGUGUCUGGGGCUGACGAGGGAGCAUGCAGAGGUCCUGGGGGGAGGCUGGUGUGGCGACUUGAGAGACACAAGGAGCCGAGAUGCCGCAGGAGGGCAGGGCAUGAAACCACAUGGGUCAUGGUGAGGAUGGUGGCCUUUAUUCUGAGCAAAGUAGGGAGUUACUAGCAGAUUUUGUGCGAGAAAUGGAAUCAUUUUCACAGCAUCACUCUGCUGUGCUGGAAACGGCUGUCGGGAGGUUUGUGAGCAGGAAGGACGGGAUACUCAUGAGGAAGAAGGCAGGCAACUGCCGGAGGGGGCUGCUACUUUUCAUGGUUUGAGUUGAAGGAGUGGGCCUUGCAUAAUGGUGCGCACCUGUAAUCCCAGAAUCUUGGUAGGGCAAGGCGGGAGGAUCGCUUGAGACUGGGAGGUCAAGGUUGCGGUGAGCUGUGAUUGCACCACUGCACCCCAGCCAGGGCAACAGAGGGAGACACUGUGUCAAUCAACUAAUCAAUUAAUAAGAGUGGCGGACGGCUUGGAUGUGGAGAGCAAGAGAAGAAAAAGUCAAUGGAGUGGAAUUGCCGGGUCACACGCUGGGAAGAACCCAAUGUUUGUGUCCUCCCAAAAUGCACAAGUCAAAAUCCCAACCCUCAAGAUGAUGGGAUUAGGAGGCGAGGCCUUGGAAGGACCCAGUGAGAAGGCGCCGGAUAUGAGCCAGGAAGGGGACUUCGGAGGACAGCAAAUCUGCCACACCUCCAUCUAGAACUUCCAGCCCCCAGAAGUGUGAGCAAAAAGUGUCCGCUGUUUAUAAGCCACCCAGGCUGUGGCAUUUUUGUUACAGUCCAGAUGGGCUAUGACAUACAGGAAUUCUGUUUCACCCUCUGAGGACCUGCCAGGCUAUUUUACAAAGUGGCUGCACCAUUUCACGUUCCCACCAGCAUUGCGUGCAGGCUCCCAGGCAGAGACACUGCUUCUCUCUCCUGGGAACUGUCACCUACAGCAGGCACCAACCUGGGCAGCAGUCGGCUGGAGAACCACGUCAUCAAUGAGCUUCCGGGGAAGGAGUGGAGACAGAUGAGCCUGCAGUGUGGUCAUUGCCAGGACUGAGCCAGCACCGGGAAGCUGCGGGAGCCACUGGCUGGGGGCGGCAGGGACUGCCCCAGACUCACAGGGAGAGGGGUGUUCACCAAGGGCUUCUAGGGAGAGGCCACGCCGUGGAAGAGUGAAACCCAGCAGGCCACAGGACGGAGCAGCCAGCAUGGACUCAGCUCUGUCUAUAUGGGUCCUGAGUCCCGUUCCCACGUGAUAACCAGUGACUACACUGACAGACACAAUUUUAGCUAAGAGCAAGAUGUUUGCAGGGGUAGACUGUGCAGUCUUCCCAUGGGAAUGUGUGGAGCUGCCGUGGGGUUCUUUGGAAAUAGGACAAGUGCCACGGGGACCCGUUACCUCUGAGGACCCCUAACUAUGAAGCUAUUAACCCUGUAACGGACUUGGCUAACAACUUGAGCAAAGCACUCAGACCUGACUCCCAGCAGAGCAGCUCAGCCAGGCUGAGAGCAGGGGAUUCGGGGGGCUCCUAGACAGGGGUGUGAGUCCAGUUUCCCCAUCACCACAGGCUGAACUGUGUUUCCUCAAAAAAGAGAUGUUGAAGUCCUAACCCCUAGGACCUAAGGAUGAGGGCUUAUUUGGAAAUAGGGUCUUUGCCGAUGUAAUCGAGCUGAGGUUGUAAGCGUGGCCCUGUCCAAUAGGACCGGUGUCCUAUUAAGAUGAGAAGAGAGAGACACCGGGAGGGUGUCAAGUGCAGGCGCAGAGGCCCGGGGAGGGGACGGACGGCUGUGCAGCAACAGAGGUGAAGAAGGAGCAAGGCGCCUGCGAGCCCCGGAACACGGAGGACUGCCAGCAGCCCUGGGGUGGGAGGGGCAGGAGGGCCCUCCCCAGAACCCUCGGCCCACGUCCUGACUUCAGAUUGUGGCCGCAGAGCCAGCGAGAAGAAAGCUCUGCUGUUGGCGCCAUGUCGGUGCUGCUGUGUGAAAGCAGCCGCAGGAAGCAAACACGCCCGUGUUGAUGACUUCGCUGGGACAAUAAACCGAGCAAAGAUACUUCCAAAUCUUCAACACCUGUCCAGUAUUCCCAUUAGAAAGCAACCCCAAAUAAAACAACACGAAGGCCGGAGGAGCACGCCAGGUCUGUCACACUGUAGACUGGAGGUGGGCCUGGGGACACACCAGAGCCUGUGGCCCCCACCCUGAGCACCAGGGCACCAGAGGGCAACGCCAUCUCAGGCCUGGCUUUCCUGCAUUCCCUACAUGCUGCUGCCAACCACACAAGACAGCUGAUUCCAUUUACACCCAAAUCCUUCGCCACAGCAUGGGGUGACAGCAGGCCACCAACUUCACAGGCAGACCCUCACCCCUACGGCCUCAGAGUGGACGGCUCCCGGGAUGAUUCCUCACUCCGUGAAGCUGUUGGCGGAGAAUGUUACACGGCAGCAUCACCACCCACAGGCCUCCUCCCAGCUACUAGAUGCCAGCCACCUUUCUUUACGAAUAAAAUACGUUAAUUAAAUAUUGCAUCUAAAUAAGU